UUAAUUGCCACGGGUAAGAUGACUGAAUAUUAAGUGGCGGAUUGUAAAUUCGUAAAUAGAGGUUAGAUUC
rnacentral:tRNA from 1 species